CUGGGAAAUCUGGCAUUAAUCAGAGAGGCAGAGUUGCAGCAGUCUGCAGAAGCAUGAGGCUAUGCUCACUUUGCCCUCCUGUGGCUGACGGUGGAUGUUCAGGAGGUCUGUAUGGUGCCUGACAUGGGCUGAUCCUAGUACAUCAGCAUCCUCCAGGGCUCGAGUUGCCCACAAAUCCAACUCUUCUACUUGGGAUAACUCCUUGAUGGUCACGUUCAAUAUUUAGUACUUGCUUUUAAAGUUUGUAUGUAUUCAGGAAUGGAGAAGGAGCCUGUCAGGGCUCAAAGGGAGGCCUGCAAAGACAGGUGCCCUGUCUCCAGGGCUUGGGGGAAGCUGGAGGAAACAGCUCGUGAGGCUACAAGAGACUGGCCGGUUGCUGGGACAGAGUCUUUCCAAUGCCCUCAUGGAUAUAGAGGCAAAUGCUCCGAAACUGGAGGAUCGGUCGAGUUAGAUGGAUCUGACAUUCACAGCUUGUUAAUCACCAGAACCCCAGUUGCAGUCUUCUAG
rnacentral:lncRNA from 1 species